GGGCCCGCACAAGCGGUGGAGUAUGUGGUUUAAUUCGAUGCAACGCGAAGAACCUUACCAGGGCUUAAAUGCAGAAUGACAGAUUGGGAAACCAGUCCUUCUUCGGACUCAUUACAAGGUGCUGCAUGGUUGUCGUCAGCUCGUGCCGUGAGUGUCAGGUUAAGUCCUAUAACGAGCGCAACCCCUAUCGUUAGUUGCCAGCGGGUAAUGCCGGGAACUCUAGCGAAACUGCCGGUGCAAACCGUGAGGAAGGUGGGGGAUGACGUCAAAUCAUCACGGCCCUUACGUCCUGGGCCACACACGUGCUACAAUGGCCCGGUACAGAGAGCAGCCACUACGCGAGUAG
rnacentral:rRNA from 1 species